rnacentral:rRNA from 1 species
AUUGAACGCUGGCGGCAGGCUUAACACAUGCAAGUCGAGCGGAGAUGAGGUGCUUGCACCUUAUCUUAGCGGCGGACGGGUGCGUAAUGCUUAGGCAUCUGCCUAUUAGUGGGGGACAACAUUCCGAAAGGAAUGCUACUACCGCUUCCGCACUACGCGAGAAAGCAGGGGAUCUUCGGACCUUGCGCUCAUAGAUUAGCAUAAGUCGGAUUAGCUAGUUGGUGGGGUAAAGGCCUACCAAGGCGACGAUCUGUAGCGGGUCUGAGGAUGAUCCGCCACACUGGGACUGAGACACGGCCCAGACUCCUACGGGAGGCAGCAGUGGGGAAUAUUGGACAAUGGGGGAAACCCUGAUCCAGCCAUGCCGCGUGUGUGAAGAAGGCCUUAUGGUUGUAAAGCACUUUAAGCGAGGAGGAGGCUACUGAGACUAAUACUCUUGGAUAGUGGACGUUACUCGCAGAAUAAGCACCGGCUAACUCUGUGCCAGCCGCCGCGGUAAGAC